rnacentral:rRNA from 1 species
GACGAACGCUGGCGGCGUGCCUAAUACAUGCAAGUAGAACGCUGAAGGAGGAGCUUGCUUCUCUGGAUGAGUUGCGAACGGGUGAGUAACGCGUAGGUAACCUGCCUGGUAGCGGGGGAUAACUAUUGGAAACGAUAGCUAAUACCGCAUAAGAGUAGAUGUUGCAUGACAUUUGCUUAAAAGGUGCACUUGCAUCACUACCAGAUGGACCUGCGUUGUAUUAGCUAGUUGGUGGGGUAACGGCUCACCAAGGCGACGAUACAUAGCCGACCUGAGAGGGUGAUCGGCCACACUGGGACUGAGACACGGCCCAGACUCCUACGGGAGGCAGCAGUAGGGAAUCUUCGGCAAUGGACGGAAGUCUGACCGAGCAACGCCGCGUGAGUGAAGAAGGUUUUCGGAUCGGAAAGCUCUGUUGUAAGAGAAGAACGAGGGUGAGAGUGGAAAGUUCACACUGUGACGGUAUCUUACCAGAAAGGGACGGCUAACUACGUG